AUUAAUUGAAGAAGAAAAGUUACUUCCAUAUUCGAUUAAAGAACUGUUAUGGUUACCUCGUAAUUUGCGCCCUAAAAUCAGGAAAAUACUCCCCACAACCAGGACAACGUUAAAGACUUGGGAUAUAAUGUUUAGGCAGAUAAAGGGAACGCUUUUGUGGUCCAGAGCCAUGCCAGUAUCGAUUUUAAAAUAUGAUACUCCUGGGGCUGAUGUUGAUUUCU